rnacentral:lncRNA from 1 species
CGCGGGAGGACUUUGCAUCCCUGUGUAGGGCUCUAAUCUCGGGUUUGGGGAUCUUGCUCCUCAGCUUGUCCGCUCCGAGGAGUUACAAUAAAAAUAGUGAUUGUGGCAGAGGAGCUGAAUGAAACGAGGGUGGAGACAGGAAGAUCAAGAAUAAAUGGUUUCACAAAUCGAAGGGAUUGUCUCUUGAGACGCUGAUUAUACCUACUGGCACAAGAAACUCAAAGUGGCCUGGUGGUAUUCUGUUUUCAGUUCAGUGGCACGAUUUAAUGUUUCCUAGAGGAAAUGUUCUUCCUGGAAAUGAGGAUCAUAACCCAGCUGGCUCCAGAUUUCGGAGCGAGGAGGCACAAAUUCUACAGGUGAGUGGCUGGGUGUGAUAGUAAUAGAGGCUACUCCUGUAUGCACAUAGUCCUACUGGAGACACAAUACUAUAUAUCCAUUUUGGCCCAAUGCAUUUCAGUGCAUAUACCAUAUCCUGAAGAACUGCUCCCAACUUUGCAAGGCAUUACAUCUUAAUCGCAAUUUAGCCCAGUCUUCAACAGGCCAUUCCAAA